GACGAAGGAUGCAAGCGUUAUCCGGAUUCAUUGGGUUUAAAGGGUGCGUAGGCGGGCCUGUAAGUCAGUGGUGAAAUCUUCCCGCUUAACGGGAAAACUGCCAUUGAUACUAUAGGUCUUGAAUUCAGUUGAGGUGGGCGGAAUGUGUCGUGUAGCGGUGAAAUGCUUAGAUAUGACACAGAACACCGAUUGCGAAGGCAGCUCGCUAAACUGACAUUGACGCUGAGGCACGAAAGCGUGGGGAGCAAACAGG
rnacentral:rRNA from 1 species